rnacentral:rRNA from 1 species
GACGAACGCUGGCGGCGUGGAUUAGGCAUGCAAGUCGAACGGUAUCAUCCUUUCGGGGGUGAGAGAGUGGCGAACUGGUGAGUAACACGUAGGUUAUCUACCCUCAAGACGGGGACAACCCAGGGAAACUUGGGCUAAUACCGGAUGUGAGCAACUUUUAGUUGUUUGAAAGGUGGCGUAAGCUGUCGCUUGGGGAUGAGCCUGCGUCCUAUUAGUUAGUUGGUGAGGUAACGGCUCACCUAGGCAAUGAUAGGUAGGCGGCCUUAACGGGUGGUCGCCCACACUGGGAUUGAGAUACGGCCCAGACUCCUACGGGAGGCAGCAGUCGAGAAUAGUCUACAAUGGUCGGAAGACUGAUAGUGCGACGCCGCGUGAACGAUGAAUCCCUUCGGGGUGUAAAGUUCUUUUAUAUGUGAGCAGUGCUUCUUAUAUUUAACAGUAUGGGGAGAGAGAUAUUAGCAUAUGAAUAAGCAACGGCUAACUCCGUGCCAGCAGCCGCGGUAAU